UACGUAGGGUGCAAGCGUUGUCCGGAAUUAUUGGGCGUAAAGGGCUCGUAGGCGGUCUGUCGCGUCGAAAGUGAAAACCCAGGGCUUAACCCUGGGCCUGCUUCCGAUACGGGCAGACUAGAGGUAUGCAGGGGAGAACGGAAUUCCUGGUGUAGCGGUGAAAUGCGCAGAUAUCAGGAGGAACACCGGUGGCGAAGGCGGUUCUCUGGGCAUUACCUGACGCUGAGGAGCGAAAGUGUGGGGAGCGAACAGG
rnacentral:rRNA from 1 species